AAAAACACCCCCCAAAUGUUUAGAUUAUUUAUAGAAAAAGAUAUAAUUUCAGAGUAGAGAGGGAGUAAGGAACAGGGGCAUGGGACGACUUGGCAGCAAUGAUCGAAGAGCUCGGUACCUGCCAAGGUCCACGUGCAGCUCACCUACCGGCGGGGCAGUAGAGAACCCGGUAGGAACGGAAACUAAAACGAAACGAGUUCUAGAGACCGAGUGGGGGCAUGAUGCCCCCGCCCGAUACACGGUUUUAUACCCGGGUAGGGCCCGGUGUAUCAACGCGGUCUUGGCUUUACCGGGCCACUGAAAACACCGCAAACGCGUCGCAUUACUUUCCAUUACUUUCUCGUUUGCUUCUCGCCUCUUGUGAUGUGCUGUGUCCAUGGAUGACGCUCCCCCGCCCUAUAUCGCUUUUUCUUCUCGCUGCAGCUCCCCCGCUUCUUCUAAUAGCUCUGAGCCUCUCCUGACACCAUCACUUUCAUCUCCUUAACACUUCUGACCUCGGGGAGCGGUCUCUACAAGCGCCUCUGUACCAGAGUGUAAGAGUUUGGUCUAUUCGGUGCUUAGAUUUCCAAUAACUUGCACAUCUGUUCUUUAGUUGGCAUUGCCUGAACACACCGUCGCGUUUCGGUUUGGCAGACGUCUACAAGGUUUUUGCAGCGUUAGAGUUGCUGUAUUUGGUUCAAUACACGUGUUUCUUGGUUAAUUCUCCAAGUUGCUGGAAGAAGGCUGGUUUAGUUUUGAGGUUGUUGGAGGACGCUGAGUGAGAGUUUGGAAACAGGAAAAUAGAGAGACUUGUGAAGAUAGUCGCACUGCGGAGAUUGCUAUUUUGCGCACAAUCGAGUUUGUGUUUCGGCCGACUUUUACGUUGAAAUCUGCAGUCCAAUUUUGUGCCAGUUGCCGUGACUGGCGUUUCUUCGCUCGACAGUGAAUCUACCCCCCUCUCCCCCUUUUUUCGUUGGAGGGAGUCACACGCUAUUUGCUCGAGAAAGUCUCCGCCACUCGUCGUAGGAAGUCUCUGCAUUAGUGCUGGACGAAGACUACGUCUUCAAGAAGCAAUAUACAGGCUCAACCUCCAUGACAACGAUUGUAAAGUCCAAUACCGUAACUGUUGCGAAGCUGUGGAGGAAUUUCAGCAACAUCCGCCUCAACCGUAGAGACACGGAGCUUCUGGAUAUGACGAGGGCUCAUUCAUACAGUUCGCACUCUUAUACCUCUCUUAGAGAUGUUGCCGGGUCGCUCCCUACAGCAAGCAGCAAGCAAUGGAACAACCAACUCAGUUCCUUUCAGUCACUUCCCGACAUUCGUCAUGUGCACAUGAGGAACCCCUUGGUGGAAAAGGCCGCCAGAGCAUACCUAGCUACAGCCAAUCGCACUCAACAUGAAAACAAUGCCUCUGGGCUGGCUUCAAGCUUUUCAUCUUUCCUAAAGAUUGUUCGAUUUCCAUUUCUUAGCACCCUUAGUCUCUUGGGAGGUGCCUCGGCUUGGUUCAAACAGCUAACGAUUAAGAUCUAAAGAAGUACGCUCACCAGCCUUGGGGGUGGAGUUGAUAAAGAGCUGAUGAAGUGUGAAGCUCAAUUUUGGAGUUUAAUUUUGGAGUUUUCGAGAGAAGCCAUAUCGGUUGAAGAAAUUUUGUAUGCAAACGGAGGCUUGUGCUGGUGCAAGUGAUGGGUUUUACCGAGAGGAGGGUCGACCUCCUGCAGCCCUGAUGCUUCCGAUCCUGUCAGGUUCAAUGCCUGUGUGAUAUUUUAUACAUGUACUCUACGUUCUACAUAGAGGUCAAGACUUCAGACGAAAAGUCCGCAGUUUUCCUACCGAGGCACUUGAUCCAGGAGGAAUAACUUACCGGAGUCGAUGUUGUGGAUUUGAUUACAGUCCCACACCAGCCCGGCGCCAAGUUCGGGUUGUAUAUAUGCAUUCAUUUGAAGCCUAUUAUUUUGCCAUAGAGAUUUGAUGGGAUGCAAGGGCAUAGCGGAGUUGUUCAUCAGACUUUUCAAGGAGGGGAUGUUUAGAUAGUCUUUUCUUCGGCAUAUAGUGAGCGAGUCCUUAAGUUACAAAAGCUUUACUUACCGAUGUGUGCCAAGCACUCCGCUAUUUGUCUUUUCCAGGAAGGGGCUUCUUGUCUCAUCACCCAGCACUAAUUUUGUAUUGUAUUGAAGUUCAUGAAUAUGAUACCUGCUGGUCGAUUGCAUCUA